rnacentral:rRNA from 1 species
UAAGGGAGCGUAGGCGGAUUGUUAAGUCAGUUGUGAAAGUUUGCGGCUCAACCGUAAAAUUGCAGUUGAUACUGGCAGUCUUGAGUGCAGUAGAGGUGGGCGGAAUUCGUGGUGUAGCGGUGAAAUGCUUAGAUAUCACGAAGAACUCCGAUUGCGAAGGCAGCUCACUGGAGUGUAACUGACGCUGAUGCUCGAAAGUGUGGGUAUCAAACAGA